UACAGAGGUGGCAAGCGUUGUUCGGAAUUACUGGGCGUAAAGGGCGCGUAGGCGGCCAUCUAAGUCAGACGUGAAAUCCCCCGGCUUAACCUGGGAACUGCGUCUGAUACUGGAAGGCUUGAGUAUGGGAGAGGGAUGUAGAAUUCCAGGUGUAGCGGUGAAAUGCGUAGAUAUCUGGAGGAACACCGGUGGCGAAGGCGGCAUCCUGGACCGACACUGACACUGAGGAGCGAAAGCCAGGGGAGCAAACGGG
rnacentral:rRNA from 1 species